rnacentral:miRNA from 1 species
UUAGUGGAUUCGCCUGUUGACACCGGC